rnacentral:rRNA from 2 species
UACGGAGGGUGCAAGCGUUAUCCGGAUUCACUGGGUUUAAAGGGUGCGUAGGUGGGUUGGUAAGUCAGUGGUGAAAUCUCCGAGCUUAACUUGGAAACUGCCAUUGAUACUAUCAGUCUUGAAUAUUGUGGAGGUUAGCGGAAUAUGUCAUGUAGCGGUGAAAUGCUUAGAUAUGACAUAGAACACCAAUUGCGAAGGCAGCUGGCUACGCAUAUAUUGACACUGAGGCACGAAAGCGUGGGGAUCAAACAGG